CGUAGGGUACGAGCGUUGUCCGGAAUUAUUGGGCGUAAAGAGCUCGUAGGUGGUUGGUCACGUCUGCUGUGGAAACGCAACGCUUAACGUUGCGCGUGCAGUGGGUACGGGCUGACUAGAGUGCAGUAGGGGAGUCUGGAAUUCCUGGUGUAGCGGUGAAAUGCGCAGAUAUCAGGAGGAACACCGGUGGCGAAGGCGGGACUCUGGGCUGUAACUGACACUGAGGAGCGAAAGCAUGGGGAGCGAACAGGA
rnacentral:rRNA from 1 species